GGAGAACGGUGGGCGUGGCUUAGAACAUGGCUAUCCCUGGGUACACCAUGUUGGCUCAUUACCGUGGAGAACAGCCCUCCUCCAUCAUGUGCUCCUACCAUGAUGCUGCCUGAGGCCCAAAGUGAUCACAGACUGAAACCUCUUUUCUCCUUUCUUUCAAGAGGUGUUAAUAUUGCUGGCUGAGGACCACACCUGGAGCAGGAAGAAUCUGGAUUCUGUGGGUUCACUGGG